rnacentral:miRNA from 1 species
UGGAAUGGAAAGCAGUAUGUAU